UCAGGCGUUCCAGUCGAGGCGACAAAGGGGCGCCUCACCUCGCCUGGCGCCUCGCUCGGGCGCCUCGCUCGCCUUUGAUAAUACUGCUUCUGUUUAUUAAUCCUCUCUAAAAGUCCAAAAAUUAUAUUUUUUGCUCGAUUGCAGAUUGGACCAUCAUAUUACUCGAAAUACCCACAGCAAUUGACACUCUAUAAUUUCAUACCAAAACAUAUAAAUGAAGUAUAUUUAAUGCAAUGAGGAAUAUUUAAUACAACAAAUCAUUCCACCCAAAAAAUUCUAUUUUUAAAAUUGGAAAAUUGAUCUAACAUGUCCCAUAUUCUUGCACUAAAAAAAAAUCUUCCUUUUCAUAUUACAGUGUGGCACCUCUACAUAUCAAACUGGUUGGAGAUAUGAUGGGAUGAGGGAUUUUUAUGUAAUGUUUUUUAAGUUGAUGAACUUUUAUGCAACAUUUUUUAAGUUGAGGGAUUUUAUGGUAACAAAAUGAAGGUGAGGGAUGGAAGUGUAACAAACUCUAAAAUUGAGUGAUUUUAUGGUAACAAAUUGAAAUGGGGAUGGAAAUGUAACAAACUCUAAGUUGAGGAAUGGUUGGUAAAAAUUAGUCUUGAAUUUUGUGGUAUAAUUGUAGCUCUAAUUGUAUUGUCUGCCCUAAUCAUAGGCGUGAUGGUUAGGAACAUUUUAUCUUUUAUUUGACAUCAAUUCUAGCUACUUUAUACAACAUUUUUAGAUUUGAUAUUUGAUCUUUGUUUGAUCAUGCUCUUUAUAGCGUGAGAGGUUAUUCAUGGCAUCCAGUGCAGUAAAAGAUAAUGCACCUUUUACUUGCAAAUAUUGGAACGGAACCAACAUGUUUGUGAGUGGAUGUGCAUUGGUUUCGUUGUAUGAUUUGCCUUCCCAGUUGUCUUACAUCAAAACGAGUAUGCUAAAAAAGUUUUAAUAUGAAUUACAUACAAAAUGUUCUUGCCGUAUAACUCAUACAACUGUAGUAUAGAAUGCUGCUUUCUUCUUCUUGUUCUUCUUAUGCAGAAACUCAUACGAGAAUGUGUAAUUUGGUGUGAGGAACCCUUUCAAGGCAAUAUUAUUCUUGGCUGCCUAGCUGGAGAAGAAGUUGGUGAUUCUUGAGUGGACUUAAAAUGGGCAUUAUACACCCAUAAUUUUAUAACAUUUCUGAUCCUCCUAGCUAAACCAAUAUGAAUACAUAAAUUGCUAAACAAGGAAUAUUCCAAUUUUAACUUUAUUAGAACAAACCAUUGGUGCUUAUUUAUCUGGAAAAUGAGAAUAGGCACCUAGGCUUUUAUGAAAAGUUGUCUUGGGAAUAUAGUUCAAAUUUAAUCCUUGUGUAGAAUUCAUUGAUGAUAUUUGUAAGGCCCAUUGAUUCUGACCCCAACUAGUUCCGAAUUGAUACUUAUAGUUGAAUUGAGCAAUGAGGUGAUGUUCUUCCCUUCCUGGUGUAGGUGUUAUCUUUUUGGUGGGACA
rnacentral:misc_RNA from 1 species